GAUGAACGCUAGCGGCAGGCCUAACACAUGCAAGUCGAGGGGUAGCAGGAUUAAGCUUGCUUAAUUGCUGACGACCGGCGCACGGGUGCGUAACGCGUAUGCAACCUACCUUAUACUGGGGUAUAGCCCGGAGCAAUUCGGAUUAAUCCCCCAUAGUACUAAUGAAUAGCAUGGUUUAUUAGUUAAAGCAUUGCGGUAUAAGAUGGGCAUGCGUCCUAUUAGCUAGAUGGUUAGGUAACGUCUCACCAUGGCUACGAUAGGUAGGGGGCCUGAGAGGGUGGUCCCCCACACUGGUACUGAGACACGGACCAGACUCCUACGGGAGGCAGCAGUGAGGAAUAUUGGUCAAUGGGCGCAAGCCUGAACCAGCCAUGCCGCGUGCAGGAAGAAUGCCCUAUGGGUUGUAAACUGCUUUUAUUUGGGAAUAAACCUCUUUACGUGUAGAGAGCUGAAGGUACCAAAUGAAUAAGCACCGGCUAACUCCGUGCCAGCAGCCGCGGUAA
rnacentral:rRNA from 1 species